AUGGCAGCACCUAAGAUAGCCGGCGCCGCCAGCCCGCCACACAUAUGUAAAUCCCUUCCCCUGGACUUCUGCAAGUCACCACUCGUGGCAGUGCACGGGUGCUGCGGCGCAAGGCUACGAUGCGGAGCACAGCGGCUUGCAAGAGCUCCACAGCGCGCAGAAGCAUGGCGACAGGGGGGUGCGGCGAGAUGGGGCCCUCCAAGGCGACGCCCCCAAGGGGGAAGCAACGGGAACGACACAAAUGGCCACUCUGACCAAGGACAAAACUUGGGUCGGAGAGCCUGA
rnacentral:rRNA from 1 species